rnacentral:rRNA from 2 species
GUCGAGCGAUGAAACUUUAACAGAACCCUUCGGGGCGAAGAUAAAGUGGAUUAGCGGCGGACGGGUGAGUAACACGUGAGUAACCUGCCUUAGACAUUGGGAUAGCCUCGGGAAACCGGGAUUAAUACCAAAUAAAAUCAUAAUGACACAUGUCAUAACGAUCAAAACUCCGGUGGUCUAAGAUGGACUCGCGUCCCAUUAGCUAGUUGGUAGAGUAAAAGCCUACCAAGGCGACGAUGGGUAGCCGGCCUGAGAGGGUGAACGGCCACAUUGGAACUGAGAAACGGUCCAAACUUCUACGGGAGGCAGCAGUGGGGAAUAUUGCACAAUGGAGGGAACUCUGAUGCAGCGACGCCGCGUGAACGAAGAAGGCUUUCGAGUCGUAAAGUUCUUUUAUAUGGGAAGAUAAUGACGGUACCAUAAGAAAAAGCCCCGGCUAACUACGUGCCAGCAGCCGCGGUAAUACGUAGGGGGCUAGCGUUGUCCGGAAUCACUGGGCGUAAAGGGUUCGCAGGCGGAAAUGCAAGUCAGAUGUAAAAGGCAGUAGCUUAACUACUGUAAGCAUUUGAAACUGCAUAUCUUGAGAAGAGUAGAGGUAAGUGGAAUUUUUAGUGUAGCGGUGAAAUGCGUAGAUAUUAAAAAGAAUACCGGUGGCGAAGGCGACUUACUGGGCUCAUUCUGACGCUGAGGAACGAAAGCGUGGGUAGCA